rnacentral:lncRNA from 1 species
GCGGGAUUUAGGUCCCAGUAAGCGUACAACGUCUCCCAACUCUGGGAGUCCUCGCUACAUCCCGGUCUCCACCUUAGUGUCGUCGCAGCCACUUGUCCAAACCCCGACAGUCAAACGGGCUUGUGCUGGAAAGCAAUCGCCUCCACUUCCACACUAGAACACACACAAGAGGCACGGGAACAAAAUCGAUACCCCUGAAGGCCCGGCGCUGUGGCUCAAGCCUCUAAUCCCAACACUUUGGCAGCCCAAGGUGGGUGGAUCACUGGAGUUCAGGAGUUCAAGACCAGUCUGGCCAAUAUGAUGAAACCUCGUCUCUACUAAAAAUAUAAAAAAUUAGACGGGCGUGGUGGCGGACACCUGUAAUUCCAGCUACUCGGAAGGCUGAGGCAAGAGAAUUGUUCCAACCCGGGAGGUGGAGGUUGCAUUGAGCCAAGAUCGCACCACUGCACUCCAGCCUGGGAGACAGAGCGAGACUCCGUCUCAAAAAAAAAAAAAAAAAUUAGCUGUGCUUGGUAGCGCGCGCCUGUAAUCCCAGCACUCCGGGACGCCGAGGUGGUUGGAUCACCUGAGGUCAGGAGUUCAAGACCAG